rnacentral:sRNA from 2 species
UAUCUUUUAUCGCUUAAUUCGUAAGAAGCGGGGGAACCACUUUUGUGGCCAGUAUUGCCACUUGGGGUGAAUCCUUUUUUGAAGGUAGGGUUACUCUCAUACCCGAAUCCGACAGCUAACCUCGUAAGCGUUCUGGGAGAGGAGUG